AGAAUGCUCCAUGUACUGCCAUUCCCAGGUGCCCAACUGCAGGCAAGUGGACUUUGAUCAUUAAGAAACAUAUGAGACAAUUUGAUCUGCAUUUGUUAGAGGCCAAAGCAAUUUCUAUAGCUGCUUGUGUGGGUGACCCAGAAAUAGUCAUGCACCACUGACACAGCCUUCCUACAGUGAGUAUUACAAAUAAUUAAAAAUUAAGGAGAAUUUAUUAUUUUUCUGCCCAGCUGAAAUUCCCACAAGUCACCUCUCAGCAUAUUCAGGAGUGCACAAGAGGGAUUUAUUAUUUCCUGGUAUAUUGACUCUGAAAGGUCUGGGGAUUACAGCUGCUUUGCACAUGAAUAGCUGGAGUGUGUUGUACAAAAGGCAUGGUCUGUGGGAUAAUGGGGUUGGAUGUGGGAAAGCGCUGACCCUGGGGGAGAGCAGGCUGGUGCCUGAUGGCAGGAAUCAAUUAUGUCUCAAAGGAACACAUUGCCCUGGGAGCAGGCUUUGCAGGAACCACCAUGUUAUGUGUUUACCACCCUCCUCCUUCAAAAACCUGUAUAAACCAACCACAGAAUAUAUCCUCUCCUGCUUUUGCUAGGGGACUUGGCUACACCAUGCUCUAUAGUGAUGCCUUUUUUCCUUACUUUUUGAUUAUUGAGCAUUUGGACUUUGUUCAGGUUGAUACUUUUCAUUUUCUCUAUAGAACCAUGAGGCUUGGACAUGAAGUCUUAAUGAAGGCCAUAAGUACUGUGUGUCUCAUGAUAAAAAUCACAAGACUUACCAACUAGUGCUGCCAAGCAUUUUGGCCAAGGGGAAGGUGUCCUGCGGAGAGAAUAGCAGGAGCAGCAAUUGAUCUUAUCUGCAGGUAUCAGAUAUUGAAUCUCUCAGCUCUAACGAGGGCAGCGGUGGAGAGGGGAGGUAAUAGUGACAGACUUGCCUGGCAUCCCCUGAGCCUCAUCUGAUUGUUCCCUACCUUGGACCAGUAUGGCUCCUUCCUCAUUUCUGAGUCACUGGUUUUAUCCAAGCCAAGAGUCUAGGGCCUGAAAUUCCCUUAGAAACUCAGAGUUCACGUAAUUCAGGGCACACUGCAUCCUCCCCUCCUAAGAGCUCCAAUCCCAGAAUAACCAUAACCACUGGGAGGCAGCUGACACGAAUUCGAUGGUGCUGACAGACAGAUGUGCACAAGGAGUAAUGACAGCUGCUAAGCCUGAGGUUUGGGUAGUAACAUGAAUAAACAAGUUAAAAUUUGGUUUACUUUCUGGAAAGAUCAAGUUAUUUUCUGUUGAGUAGAUCACUGUGUAUUUCCUGACCAAGGAUUUGAGUGCAUCUUCCUUUGUAGCCAUUUCAUGGGCUUAAAAUUGUACUAAAUAGCAUUUUCAAAACCCACUGCUGAACUUAUGUACAAAGGAGAACUUUGGCAUCUGCUUAUCUGGGUGGUGCCUGGCUGCGAGUGUGGUCCAGGCUGGUAAUCCACAUUCUCCCACAAGCUGGGGAGGUGGCUCCUUUCACAGAUGCCAAAGCUGAUUAAAAGAAAAGUGGGUGCUGAGCAUCAUUGUAAACCAGAUGUCUCAAACAGGCACUUGCAAUAGGAGCACUGUACCCAGUAGGCUAUUGGAAAUACUGAAAUUUGGGGUUUCCCCUGUCUGCCUCGUUUUUCUUCCUUUGUAAAACAUUGCUAAUAAUACGUCCUUAUCUCAGAGAGGAGGUUGCUGAGAAUUCAUUAGCUGUAUUUGUAAAGCACUUUGAAAAUGCAAAGCCAGUGCAUUAUUCCUAGUCUUCUGGAUGCUUUCCACGUUAUUAAAAUCAGGAUUUCAGAAAGGCUUAUCGGGGAUCAAAACAGCAUCCCAAACUUGAAAGGAAGCAAGACUGUUAAACCAUCAACUGUCGCCUCCCCCUCCAGCCAGAUGUUAAGCCCUAAAGAACUGAAGUGGCACAA